rnacentral:rRNA from 1 species
ACUGCGAAUGGCUCAUUAAAUCAGUUAUCGUUUAUUUGAUAGUACCUUACUACUUGGAUAACCGUGGUAAUUCUAGAGCUAAUACAUGCUGAAAACCCCGACUUACGAAGGGGUGUAUUUAUUAGAUAAAAAACCAACGCCCUUCGGGGCUUCUUGGUGAUUCAUGAUAACUUUACGGAUCGCAUGGCCUUGCGCCGGCGACGGUUCAUUCAAAUUUCUGCCCUAUCAACUUUCGAUGGUAAGGUAUUGGCUUACCAUGGUUUCAACGGGUAACGGGGAAUUAGGGUUCGAUUCCGGAGAGGGAGCCUGAGAAACGGCUACCACAUCCAAGGAAGGCAGCAGGCGCGCAAAUUACCCAAUCCCGACACGGGGAGGUAGUGACAAUAAAUACUGAUACAGGGCUCUUUU